ACCACGAUUUUAGUGUAUACGAGUUUUUGAAAAUAAAGGGGGAAUAACCAMCCCUCUUGAUACAACAAGAAAUUGGUUAUUCCCCCUUUAUUUUAUGUAGUAGUCUUUUACUUUUACUUAUAUAAGUUUUUUUCUUUACUUCAACAUAAGAAAAGGCAUUCUUAUGGGUUGGUUUAUGAUUGAGGAUUAUACUUUAAUUUUGUUAUGUACUAAUUUUCAAUUAAAAUUUAUCUACUUUCUUCUCAAUCUUUUCUUUUGUGAAGUAAAUUUUUUACAUUUAAAAUAAAAAAGAAAGGUUUCAAUUUUCUCCCUCUUCUAUCUUAUUCUUG
rnacentral:misc_RNA from 1 species